rnacentral:rRNA from 1 species
UACGGGAGGCAGCAGUGGGGAAUAUUGCACAAUGGGCGCAAGCCUGAUGCAGCCAUGCCGCGUGUAUGAAGAAGGCCUUCGGGUUGUAAAGUACUUUCAGUCGUGAGGAAGGUGUUAAGGUUAAUAACCUUAGCAAUUGACGUUAGCGACAGAAGAAGCACCGGCUAACUCCGUGCCAGCAGCCGCGGUAAUACGGAGGGUGCGAGCGUUAAAUCGGAAUUACUGGGCGUAAAGGGCACGCAGGCGGUUAAUUAAGUUGGAUGUGAAAUCCCCGGGCUUAAACCUGGGAAUGGCAUUCAAGACUGGUUAGCUAGAGUCUUGUAGAGGGGGUAGAAUUCCAUGUGUAGCGGUGAAAUGCGUAGAGAUGUGGAGGAAUACCGGUGGCGAAAGGCGGCCCCUGGACAAAGACUGACGCUCAUGUGCGAAAGCGUGGGGAGCAAACAGGGAUUAGAUACC